CUUCUCCCUCAAGGCUGUUCUAGGUUUUCUUUACCAUUUAUUUCUUACCUCAUCUUUAUUGAUUCCUUUGCUUCAAACACCUCUCUAGAGCUACCAAUGACCAUGUUUUCCAAUACCCAGAACUAUGCUGGUUCCCUGAGCCCCCCUUGCCAUACACUCUCUCUAAAGUCAUUUUCAAAACUCUCUUCUCCUAGAAAGGCUAUCUGGAACUCUGGAAAACAUUCACAAUAAUCUCAGUAACAGAAGAUGAAAUGUGCUCCUAUCAUUAGGUUCAACUACGGAGCUUUAAGCUUGAAUUUACUACAGUGGAAGUAGAAGUUUCAGGGGUAAAGUGGAAGAAAAUAUGCAAGUCAACAUGGUGUAUUAUUACAGGACAAGUCCCUUCCUGAAAAGCUCUUCAUUGUCUCUUGAAAACGGUCUGUGAAAGUGCCAAACCACCAGCUCUCCAGAUGUGGCUGAAUAUCAAGGCAUCCUCACAUGGUGGAAGGGACAGAAGGCAAAAAAGGGAGGAACACUGUGUCCUCACAUGGCAGAAGAGCAGAAGAGAAUGAACUCAUUCCCUCAAGCCCUGCUAGAAGGGCACUACUCUCAUCCACUAGGACUCCAACCUCACAGCUUCAUCACCUCUUAAAAGCCCCACCUCUUCAUACUAUCAGUUGAUUAUUAAAUUCCAACAUCUGAAUGUUGGAGGACACAUCCAGACCGUAGCAUCCCUCAAAAAAAGAAUAAAGAUGUUCCAUAGCACCCAUCAUUUAUUGAAAUGAUUUUCGAACACAAAUACAGCAUUGAGAGCAAGCUUUUAAAAUAAAUUGAGGGGCUUCUGGGUCAAGAUCACUAAUGGAACACACAUGUUCAUUUUAUAUUCUUCUCUGGACACUAUUAAAAUGAGAGUAAAGGAAUGUUAAACCAUAAACCCACAAAAAUAAGAGACCUGGCAAAGAGAAAAAUCAGUGUGAAAAAGCACAUUGCAAAUUUCUGGAAGAUGAAAAGGAGAUAGAGGUAGACAGCCAGAUGAAGAUGAGCUGCCAAGAAGAGACCUUAGUAUAAAUGACUUUGCAAACCCUGGAGGGUGCCAGAGUCAAGGAAGACAAAUUCCACAAAGGCAAAGGCAUGACUGUAAAGAAGGGCUGAAAAGAAGGAGAUUCAUUGAAAGCCUCUAAAACCAGCUCUUUCUUUUCCUUCCCCACCCCAUGCAAAGAUGGACCAGCAGGCAGGAGGUCUACAAGCUGUAGGCAAAGGAUUGCUGGGCUGAAUGAAUGAAUAAGCAGAAGCAAGUGGCACAACAAAACAUGCCAGAAUUCCAAAACUGAAAGCUGAGUUCAAGUGGAAAAACAAAAUAGGGAUGAAAAAAGGUUUUAUUUCCCAUAUAUUUCCUUCACAUUCUAAGUUAAUGCCCCACUCUCUGUGAUAAGUGUAUUAAUUUAUGCUAACAUUUUCUUCCUUCAGCCUCCCACUAUGACAUGAUAUCCCCAGAGAAAUUAUAACAGGUUCAGGAAAGCAAUCCUAUGAGCUCUCUCAACUGCUCCUAAGACGAAUGUCAUCAAGUUGGUAUUUAAAAUCACGAGGUGGUCUCUAAAUUGCUACGCUCUGACAGCUAUAAGGGUACUAGGCCUAUUUUGAAGACCAAGCUGGGGGUGGAGGGGGGUGUCUUCCCAGAAGCUACCCAUGCAAGAAAAUACCCAUUAACUGAGAAGAAAAUUAAUAAAAGGACCCUUGAGAAAUUUUUAGGUUAUAAAUAAUAACAAAAGACCAGCAAUUGAACUACAAACAUCCUCUAACCAUUUUUUUAAAAAUCAUCUCCUUAUUUUCAUGAAGGUCAUGUAGCAAAAUAAAGCAAAUGAUUCUCUAAUACAAUUCCAUCACUAAUACCACAGUCUAUUUGUCAUUCCCUUAGGGGAGCUGUACUUGAGACAGAACAACUAGAUAUAUAAUUGUAAUUCUCACAAUGAGAACCUAGAAAAUAUUUCGCCACACGUACAGUAUGCUAUAUAUGUCACUGUGAAAGCACAGCUCGGUUAAAGCCUGCAAUCCAUCUAUCUCCUUUCUGUUAUUCGCCAUCACACAGAGCUAUAUCAAAAGAUCCAUUCAAACAGUGAGUCUCAGACUUACAUUAUCAGCAGACACUGCUUUAAUUAGCAGUGGUUUUCAAAGGGCUGGAUGGCUUCGAGAACUUGAUUUGAACCAUAAAGUAGAAAUCUGGAUCCUUAUCAGUUUCACUUUUCAACUCUCAGCUCCCCUCCCUGGGUUCCAAUAGAUACAGCCCUCAUUUUCCUUAAUGUAAGAAAGAAAAUGAAAAUGGUGGCUAGAGUUUGGCAAUACUUGUGCGUCCACUUUUUCCUCAACCACCAGUGAUGCAGAGGGGCUAAAAUUAAGGUUGCAAAGGAACUAAGAUAUCUGUGUCAGGUACGUUGCAGGGAGUGGUAGGAAUGACAGAAAGAGAAUGAAUAAAAGAAACCAUUUUUAAAAUAACAUUUAACACACAGAUUUUAUGUAUAUAUGUGUGUGUGUGUGUGUGUGUGUGUGUGUGUGUGUGUGUGUGUGUGUAUUUUUUUUAUUCCAAAUAAAAACAUAGCAUCCACUUUAUUUUAGGUUAAGUGUGAGAAAAUAUAAUGCUUUAUUUUGGGCAUUUCAAUACAAACAUUAAGGCACUUACAUGCUACUUUUUUCAUCUAUUUCACAAUAUUUACCCAUGAUCCAAUUCCUGAAUCUUUGUUAUUUCUCAGUGAAAACAUAGAAAACUAUGCAAUUUAAUUGAUCAGUACUGAACUGUGAACUUUCUAUUCUAAAAGGAAGGUUUCAUCUAAUAACAAGGACUUCUGUUUUACAUUUGAUCAGUGAUAAUAUAAAAAUAGAAACUAUUUCAAGAUUCCUAAUGUUUGAAUAAAUAGGCAUCAUUUGGUAUGGAAAGAAUUUAAUAAAUCCACAGCCAGAGAGCACUUUUGAUAGAUGUAUAAAAUAAUGAAGAGCAUAGCAAUAUUUUCAAAUCCAAUCCAACCUUUCACUUUGUAGAUAAAGAAGCCAAAGGUUAAGUGAUUUGUCAAAGCCAUACAAGCACAACUUUAACUGUAUUACCUACCAGUCUCCUGGAAUCAGAUCUAACAUGCUCCUCACCAUACUAGUUGGCACUUAGGGAGAGAUAGAAAACCUCUUUGGAAUAAGAAUCCUUGUCACCAUCAACACACACACACACACACACACACACACUGAAGACACAGGUUCUUCAUUUAGAUUUUCAUAGGUAUGUGAAUUAAACACCUGUACACACUCGCUUUUUCAUUUUUCCAGUCUCUCCUCAUUUUGCCAUUAUGCACAUUAGGACUUUAAUUCUCACUGCUUAGCAAUUUCCCAAUGAUCCUCAUGGUCCACCACUAUCAUAGCAUAUUUCCUUUCCUCUCUCUUUUUAAAAUUUCUUGCUAUAGAUUCUUUUGCAAUUUUUAAAUUUUUGUUAUUGGCUCAAAGGAGAAGAGGCCAGAAAGAAAUUAAGAUGGAAUUAUUUCUUAUUCAAAAGAGAUUUAAGUUUUUCAACUACUUAGUUUUUCACUUUGGUCUGCCAAAUGAUCAGGAUUCACGGUUACUAUUUACUACUAUACUUCACCUGGGGUAAGACCAGAAUUUUUUAAUUACUCAUAAUGCUUAAGGGUUGUCUCAGUUAUUUGGAGAACAUUAUCCUAAUCAUCAAAUCUCUAAUAUCUGAUGCAGAGAGAUCAACCAUAUAAUCCUCUUAUUGACAUCUCGGAAAUGUCUUACCUCCCUAAGAAAGGGAAAAAUUAAUUAAUUUUACUAAAAAUUCAGGAGUGACACACUGUUCAGAAACUCAGAGAAUCCUGGUUCCGAAUUCCCUCCAGUUGCCUUCCAGCUGACGGAUGCUUACUGAGAAACUUAACAUGAAAUUUUGGUCUCUACCACCCAUCUGUUUUAUGAAAAUAAUUAUUUCCACAGGGUAUUUUAGAUGUCAACUCUGGAUGCUAUCUCUGGAGAAAAGUGGAUAAUAAAUUUAAAAUAUACCAAUGAUGAAUGGGCCAUUGUGGGCGAUGUGCCAAGUGGAGACGUAGAAUGCACAGUAAGCAACACAAAUACCUUAGGGAGGGCAGCUGCAGUCUUAAAGAUGCUGAAGUGCCUACCAUGGCCCAUGACAAUGUCACCAAUAAAAUCAAACAUGAGCCGGCAGCUUAGGGGAGUUAACGUAUGGGGGCAAAGCAACUCACUCACAUCCUCUACCAUCAAAAUUGUCCCUCAGACAAAAGGAACAUCUAAGGCAACUUUAUCAGUUGAAUCCAAAACACAGCAAGAGUCAUUGCUACUCUUAUGAGUAGCAGAGACAAGGAAGGAGGUUUCCAAAAUAAAUGAUGUAAUGCCAAAAAAAUAAAAUAUCAUCGUUUGCAUGUUUUUAUCUUUCUUUCCUUCAUUUAGGUCAUCACCAAAAUUAGUUUAUUAAGAAUGAAUGCAACCAAUUGUGGUAUAAAGAUACAUACAUCCAGUACCUUACCGCCAGAGAUUUCCUACUUAUUAAAUUUAAUUUGCAUUUAUUACUUAUUUUAUUAUGUGAAGUUGCCUUGUAAGGAAUAACAUAUAGAUCAGAAGCAACAUUCAAGCCAUACGGAAAGUAAUAUCUAGAUAACACAUCAGAAACAUUGGCAGAAUAGAUGACUUGUUUUGGGGCAUGUCAGGGCCUUCUGAGUGAGUGCCUGUUACCAAUGACUCUAGUUAGACACAAUUAGAAAGAGAAAUAAAUAUAUAAGUAGAUAUUAUGGCAGAAUAAAACAUGUUACAGGCCGGGCGCAACGGCUCACGCCUGUAAUUCUAGCACUUUGAGAGGCCGAGGCGGGCAGAGUGCCUGAGCCCAGGAGUUCGAGACUAGCCUGGGCAACAGAGUGAAACCCUGUCUCUACUAAAAUACAAAAAAAAAAAAAAAAAUUAGCUGGGCAUGGCAGCAUGUGCCUGUGGUCCCAGCUACUCGGGAGACUGAGGCAGGAUAAUUGCUUGAACCCGGGAGGCAGAGGUUGCAGUGAGCCGAGAUCAUGCCACUACACUCCAGCCUGGGCGACAGAGUGAGACUCCAUCUCCAAAAAUAAUAAUAAUAAUAAUAAUCAUGUUACCAUGUUACAGCAUAAAAUGCUUUACAAUCAUUCCCAUUGUUAAGACAUUCUGAAGAAUAAUUAUAGACUUGCUACCACAGGUCCAUGUGAGAAACUGAGGUGUCAAUGGUUUGUACACUUAGAAUGUUUCUGAGCGGCUAAAACCUAUCAUUAUUAUAUCAUAAUGUACUUAAAAAUAAUCAAAGCGUAAUAAUUGCCUUGAGGGCUAGGACUUUAUUAUGUAUGUUCCCACUGCAGCCCUUAGUACUCUGUCUUAUUCAAAAUAAGUGUCUAGUGAUGUAUACUGAUUUGAAAGUCUGUUUUGUUUUUUCUGAGUACAUUGUCAUCCAAUAGGCACUAGGUUGCAUCUCUGAAGACACUCACCAACAACACCCAGACCUGUCAUCAGAUAAUGAUAUGAGGAAUUAGAACCAAGCACGAAUCUCAUGUUUUUUGUUUAUUAACAGAUUUCUUCUUAGAAAGUAAUUAAUUUUAUUUGUAUUAAUGAAGCUAUGAAUUAAUAAAUAAUUUAGGCUGGGCAUGGUGGCUCACACCUGUAAUCCCAACACUUUGGGAGGCUAAGGUGGGCGAAUUACCUGAGGUCAGGAGUUCGAAACUAGCCUGACCAAUAUGGUGAAACCCCAUCUCUACUAAAAAUACAAAAUUAGCUGGGCAUGGUGGCCCAUGCCUGUAAUCCCAGCUGCUGAGAAGGCUGAAGCAGCAGAAUCGCUUGAACCCAGGAGGCGGAGGUUGCAGUGAGCCGAGAUUGCACCAUUGCACUCCAGCUUGGGCAACAAGAGUGAAACUCGAAUUCAAAAUAAAUAAAUAAUUUAAUUAACCUUAUUUAAAGAGCUAUCCUUCACUGAAUUAUCACAGAAUUCUAAAAUUCUUUGUAGCUUUACAUUUUAACAACAGUUUGUUUGUUUGUUUUCCAUUUCUUUUCUCUUUUGCUGUAUUUAAAAAUAAGUGGUAUGG
rnacentral:lncRNA from 1 species